rnacentral:rRNA from 1 species
AGGAUGAACGCUGGCGGCGUGCUUAACACAUGCAAGUCGAACGAUGAAGGCUGGAGCUUGCUCUGGCUGGAUUAGUGGCGAACGGGUGAGUAACACGUGAGUAACCUGCCCCAGACUCUGGGAUAAGCGCUGGAAACGGCGUCUAAUACCGGAUACGAGCUUCCACCGCAUGGUGAGGAGCUGGAAAGAAUUUCGGUCUGGGAUGGACUCGCGGCCUAUCAGCUUGUUGGUGAGGUAAUGGCUCACCAAGGCACGGACGGGUAGCCGGCCUGAGAGGGUGACCGGCCACGACUGGGACUGAGACACGG